UCUGGUGUCCAUAGCAAGGUGGAACCACCCCUUCCCAUCCCGAACAGGACCGUGAAACGCCUCCGCGCCGAUGAUAUUGCACACUCCGUGCGAGAAAGUAGGUCAACGCCAGAC
rnacentral:rRNA from 1 species